AUGGCGACUUCCAUGAGUUGCCUGCUGGUGCUAUGCCUUGUCUGUCCCCUCCUUGCUGGUGUCGUACGUGCCAACCCAUGGUACGGCUUGUUCCCACAGUUUUACGAUCACUCUUGCCCGAAGGCAAAGGAGAUUGUGCAAUCCAUCGUGGCGCAGGCUGUUGCCCAGGAGACCAGGAUGGCAGCAUCCUUGGUCAGGCUGCAUUUCCAUGACUGCUUUGUCAAGGGGUGCGACGCAUCCGUGCUACUGGACAACAGCAGCAGCAUAGUCAGCGAGAAGGGGUCCAACCCCAAUCUGAACUCCCUCCGGGGGUUCGAGGUCGUCGACCAGAUCAAGGUCGCCCUUGAGACAGCCUGCCCCGGUACUGUCUCCUGCGCCGAUAUCCUCGCCCUCGCCGCCCGUGACUCUACUGUCCUUGUUGGUGGCCCUUACUGGGACGUGCCACUCGGCCGCAGGGACUCUCUGGGUGCAAGCAUCCAGGGAUCAAACAAUGACAUCCCUGCCCCCAACAACACCCUACCCACCAUCAUCACCAAGUUCAAUCGCCUCGGUCUCAACAUCGUCGAUGUCGUCGCCCUCUCAGGUGGCCACACCAUCGGCUUGUCCCGCUGCACCAGCUUCCGGCAGAGGCUGUACAACCAGUCGGACAACGGCCUGGCCGACAGCACACUGGAUAUGUCCUACGCUGCGCAACUAAGGCAGGGGUGCCCCCGCUCCGGUGGCGACAACAAUCUCUUCCCACUCGACGUCGUCAGCUCGACCAAGUUUGACAACUUCUACUUCAAGAACAUCCUUGCCGGUAGGGGUCUCCUCAGCUCUGACGAGGUCCUGCUUACCAAGAGCGCGGAAACAGCAGCACUUGUGAAGGCGUACGCGAAUGAUGUGCAUCUCUUCUUCCAGCACUUUGCACAGUCAAUGGUGAACAUGGGCAACAUCAUGCCACUGACCGGGUCACAGGGGGAGAUCAGGAAAGACUGCAGGAGGCUCAACAACUAUCACUGA
rnacentral:rRNA from 1 species